AGGUGGAGUGCGUAACAGUACCAUGCCCCUCUCUCCUCCAAACUGGAUCAGGAAAAGCGGCCUUGCUGGGCAAUGAUUCAAUCCAAAAGGCAAGAGCUCUUUCAGAAGUACUUUUCAGAAAGGCAAUAUCUCUUUUACUGGCCAAUGGGGUUCUCUCUUCUAAAAUUGGACUAAAAUUUCCCAGUGGGUUCUCCAAUUUAACUCUUUCUAAAACCUUUAGAAGCUAUGAAAGAAAGGGAAUAACCUUCCACUUGUCAUGUACAUCCUCUUAAGGUCUUCUCUCUUCUAUGUCAAAGCAUCGCAAAAUUACACAGUCUAUCAUUUAGUGUUGGAUAUUCCAAGACGAGAAAAGGCUGAUUCUGCCAAUUCAAGUUCGAUGUCUGGCUAGGUGUCUUGUGCAGACUUGACAUGGGCUAUGUUGGACACUAGCAAGUGUUCCCAAUCACAUCUUAAAGAAAUUCAAGUUCGCUGCAGGAAAGGUUUGCUCUUUCAAAAUCAAUGCACUUGUGAGUACCAAGCUGAAUAAGGUUUAUUAUGCAUGCUGAAUAAGUUUCAUUUUUCAGAAACUUGUCAGAGGACGAGACGACGGACUUUAGAGAAUUUGACUCCCAGUAUAGUGAUAAAUAGAGGGAAAAUUAACCUUAAGGUCCUAAGGGCUGCUUUAUAAAAGCUUUGUACCAAAUUUACUGAAUUAGAAAUAACAGUUGAUACAGCUGAUGGAGGUGUAUGAACGGGCAGUUCUUGCAGUUACUUAUUCAGUGGACAUAUGGUGUAAUUAUUGUCAGUUUGCGAUUUCAACAUACAAUGACCCAGAUGUCAUCAGAAGGUAGCAAUUGAAUAUCGGGACUAUUCCGAUGAAGUUUUUUUAAUAUAUUUUUAUAGUGUCUUGACUUUUGUUAACUACCGCAUUUUAGGCUGUAUGUGUAUGUAUAGGAAUACAUACAUGGCAAGAAGGGAUUUUACAAUACCUAGGACCUGCACAGGAAUGCUUGAUGAAAUGCUUUAUAAUAUUUUAGCACUGUUUUUCGGCAGUCCUUGUGGUAGGAAAGUGAUCCAUUCUUCGAAAACUCAUCUACUACUACUCACCAAAUCACAUCGUUCCAUAUAUGGACUAACUGAGAAUCUGGGAUUUUUCCAUCAAUCGCACUGCCUUUCCAUCCCCUCCAUCAACAAGCGAUCAAUCUUCCACAUCGCAAAAAAAAAGAAGAGAGUCAAUCUUCCAAAUCACUUCAUUCCAUAUAUGGACUAACUUGGAAUCUGGGAUUCCAUCGAUCGCGCUGCCUACAUGCCCCUCCAACAAGCGAUCAAUCUCAGCACAGAAGGCUCUUUGUUUUCUUGACGCUCGUGGCUUUUGUAGCAAAUUCUAUUUGUUCUUCGCCACUUUGGGUUGUGGGGCUUACUUCCUAGCCCCGCUUGCUUGUUGUACCACCGCCCACUUUGUGGCUCUAGCGCCAGCGCCAGCCUGGGACAUCUCUCUAUCCGGGCCGGCAUACCGGGAUGUUGCAGGGCCGCCGUCACCUCGAGAAGGGGCGAGGAGUCCAUCGUAUGCCCAGUUGAUGUCCCUGGGUACUCACUGUGGCACGAAGAGUCCCUCACCGUUGUCCUCUUCGACCAGCAUAACAACGACAGGUCAGCCUGUGCAGACUACAAACUGAGGGCGCAGAUGUGCCACGCACAAGACACAAGGGUGACAAGGCCAGGAGCGGCAGCAGGCGGCGGUGGAGCACGCAGCAAGGUGGAUUUUCUGAAGAUCUUGUGAUUUUCUAAAGAACAUGUCUGCUUGUUCAGGAGGCAAAUAACUGAAGCUGAAGGCUCUUUUCUGAAUGAUGAUAAAUCUAGGAGAGGAUGACGAAUUAGUUUGUGCAAAUCUCCCACUGAUUUGUGUCCUUGAAGUCCUUUCUUGCAUGGUUUUUAUAAUACGAAUUAGACAUUUCUUGCUUGCAAACAACUUAUUGCAUCUCUUCUUGUUGCAUGAACAACCAUAUAUAUACUCCUAGAGCGGCAGAGCUAAUGCAUCAGGAUAGGCAAGCAUCAUGGCACAUUGGUGCAGUGCAUCUUGAAGGAUAACAACAGUAUCUUACGAGAGUGGAACAACAUUUUCAAUCGGCAAAAUGAUUUGGUGUAAUACAAGCUUCCUGGGGAAAUCUGGUUUAGCUUUCAGUCCAGCUUUGAUGAUAAAAUAACAUCAGCCUACCUCGAACAUAACUUUAAUAAAGAAAUCUUUGCAAGGAAUAUGUGUGAUUUCGGAGGAGCCAAGUUGCAAGGAGCUAAUGGGACACGAAAUGCUUGUUUUUCUUUGCUCUGAUCUUUCAAAUUUGUGGAUAAAAUUUCACCCAACUAUAAUAUGAUGUCAUCAAAUGAUACAGAAUGCCAAUACUACAUGUUGUUUUACUA